UCUCCGUAGGUGAACCUGCGGAGGGAUCAUUACAGAGUUUUUGCCCGCAAGGGUAGAUCUCCCACCCUAUGUUAUUCCUUCUCUGUUGCUUUGGCGGGCCGUCCGGCCUCGGUCAGGCCACCGGCUCCGGCUGGUGAGCGCCCGCCAGAGGACCCCAAACCCUAAAUGUCAGUGUCGUCUGAGUACUAUAUAAUAGUUAAAACUUUCAACAACGGAUCUCUUGGUUCUG
rnacentral:misc_RNA from 1 species